rnacentral:rRNA from 1 species
UACGGGGGGAGCAAGCGUUGUUCGGAAUUACUGGGCGUAAAGGGCGCGUAGGCGGCCUUCUAAGUCGAACGUGAAAUCCCCGGGCUCAACCCGGGAACUGCGUCCGAUACUGGAAGGCUUGAAUCCGGGAGAGGGAUGCGGAAUUCCAGGUGUAGCGGUGAAAUGCGUAGAUAUCUGGAGGAACACCGGUGGCGAAGGCGGCAUCCUGGACCGGUAUUGACGCUGAGGCGCGAAAGCGUGGGGAGCAAACAGG